rnacentral:rRNA from 1 species
GCUUACACAUGCAAGUUCGAACGAGAAGGCGUAGCAAUACGCUUGUACAGUGGCGAACGGGUGAGGAAUACAUGGGUAACCUACCCUCGAGUGGGGGAUAACCCGCCGAAAGGCGGGCUAAUACCGCGUAAGCUUCCGAUCUUGCGGGAUUGGAAGGAAAGCUGUCCCUUGGGGAUGGCGCUCAAGGAUGGGCUCAUGUCCUAUCAGCUUGUUGGUAGGGUAACGGCCUACCAAGGCAUCGACGGGUAGCUGGUCUGAGAGGACGAUCAGCCACACUGGCACUGCGACACGGGCCAGACUCCUACGGGAGGCAGCAGUGAGGAAUAUUGCGCAAUGGGCGAAAGCCUGACGCAGCGACGCCGCGUGGGGGAUGAAGGUCUUCGGAUUGUAAACCCCUUUCGGGAGGGAAGACGGCCUUAGACAACUAAGGCGGACGGUACCUCCAGAAGCAGCCACGGCUAACUUCGUGCCAGCAGCCGCGGUAAUACGAAGGUGGCAAGCGUUGUUCGGAUUUACUGGGCGUAAAGGGAGCGUAGGUGGUUAGGUAAGCCCUCCGGGAAAUCUUCAGGCUUAACCUGAAAAGGUCGGGGGGG